rnacentral:rRNA from 1 species
CCCUGCCUUUUGUACACACCGCCCGUCGCUACUACCGAUUGAGUGUUUUAGUGAGGCCUCGGGACUGGGGCAAGUGGGUUGAAUAAACCUGCUCGCCUCGGGAACUUGGUCAAACUUGAAUACUUAGAGGAAGUAAAAGUCGUAACAAGG